GGGCACACAGCAUGGCAUCACCCUGCAGUUCAACAGCAGCCUCGUCAGCCUGGAACUCUGCAAGGUUCAUUUCCACUUCUGGGAGCAUGGUAACUACUCUCUGUGGGUCAAGAACCUGAAUGACUCAUCAGUGGUCAACUGUUCCAUGAUCACUGACACAGAACCGGUCAACAGCUACCUGCCCAUCAUGGUGGCCUUUCUGUUGUUCAGGGACUGGCUCUACUGUCUGCUGUUGG